rnacentral:rRNA from 1 species
AUUGAACGCUGGCGGAAUGCUUUACACAUGCAAGUCGAACGGCAGCACGGACUUCGGUCUGGUGGCGAGUGGCGAACGGGUGAGUAAUGUAUCGGAACGUGCCCAGUCGUGGGGGAUAACGUAGUGAAAAUUACGCUAAUACCGCAUACGAUCUAUGGAUGAAAGCGGGGGAUCGCAAGACCUCGCGCGAUUGGAGCGGCCGACAUCAGAUUAGGUAGUUGGUGGGGUAAAGGCCCACCAAGCCAACGAUCUGUAGCUGGUCUGAGAGGACGACCAGCCACACUGGAACUGAGACACGGUCCAGACUCCUACGGGAGGCAGCAGUGGGGAAUUUUGGACAAUGGGCGACAGCCUGAUCCAGCCAUUCCGCGUGCAGGAUGAAGGCCCUCGGGUUGUAAACUGCUUUUGUACAGAACGAAAAGGUUUCUACUAAUACUAGGAGCUCAUGACGGUACUGUAAGAAUAAGCACCGGCUAACUACGUGCCAGCCGCCGCUGUAA